rnacentral:lncRNA from 1 species
GAGUGUAUAUACGACAUAUACUCAAGGAAAUGGUAAAGUACCAUUUGACCCGAAAUAAUGAAACCUUUAUAGCGAAUUGGUAGCUUAAGGUGACUACAAUCAAAGAGAAUGGUUGACUUUGAAGAAACCAUCUUUGACGUAGUCUUGUUUUCAAUUAAUUCAAAGAUUGCUAGCUACAAAUAAAUGGUGAUUCAAUGUUUGGACAUAAUAUAGGUUUCCGAAACCAUUAUUAAGAUAGUCUUGAUAAUAUAU